AGUGAACGCUGGCGGCAGGCCUAACACAUGCAAGUCGAACGGCAGCACAAGAGAGCUUGCUCUCUGGGUGGCGAGUGGCGGACGGGUGAGGAAUGCAUCGGAAUCUGCCCAUUUGUGGGGGAUAACCUCGGGAAACCGGGACUAAUACCGCAUACGACCUACGGGUGAAAGCAGGGGAUCUUCGGACCUUGCGCAGAUGGAUGAGCCGAUGCCGGAUUAGCUAGUUGGAGGGGUAAAGGCCCACCAAGGCGACGAGCCGUAGCUGGUCUGAGAGGAUGAUCAGCCACACUGGGACUGAGACAGGGCCCAGACUCCUACGGGAGGCAGCAGUGGGGAAUAUUGGACAAUGGGCGCGAGCCUGAUCCAGCCAUGCCGCGUGUGUGAAGAAGGCCUUCGGGUUGGAAAGCACUUUUGUUGGGAAAGAAAAGCAGCCGGUUAAUACCCGGUGGUCAUGACGGUACCCAAAGAAUAAGCACCGGCUAACUUCGUG
rnacentral:rRNA from 1 species